rnacentral:misc_RNA from 1 species
AAAGUCGUAACAAGGUUUCCGUAGGUGAACCUGCGGAAGGAUCAUUACUGGAUGGGAGAGGGGGAGGGGGAGAGGGAGGAUGGGUUGAAAUGGGACGAGACGAGCGAGUGGCCAAGAGGUAAACGACAGAUGAGACAACUUGCAACAAUGGAUCUCUGGGCUCUU